UUCUAUCUAAUUUUUUUACUCUAGAAGUGCUUUAAGUGAGAGUCCUAGUUUCCCAUUUUUUCCUCUGUCAAAGUUCAUGGGUUUUAAUUUUAGAGAUGGUCCUUUAAAAAAACAAAAACUAAGGAGAAAACAAAAAUAAAAACAAAAAGGAAACUGAGAAUAGGACGUCAGCCGUCACAUGAGGGGAGGAAGUGACCAAGUGGACCGAAUAGAAGAAAAGGCCUCGAACAGAGAUAACCGGCGCCGUUAGCGGACUAACGGAGAGAGUAGAUGAAAGGUGGCUCCCACUCCCACAAUGGGGCUCAGUGUGCCAUCGUCGGUCCAACGAGUGUUCUUGUAUUCUCAGAUCGGUGUAUUCUUGGACAAAUAUGUCCGUACGGUCUAUGUUUUCUUUGGCUUCAGAUUCUAACUUUCAUUCAUAUUCGG
rnacentral:lncRNA from 1 species